rnacentral:rRNA from 1 species
CCUACGGGAGACAGCAGUGAGGAAUAUUGGUCAAUGGGCGAGAGCCUGAACCAGCCAAGUCGCGUGAAGGAUGACGGCCCUACGGGUUGUAAACUUCUUUUGUCAGGGAGCAAUUGGGUCCACGCGUGGGCUUAGCGAGAGUACCUGAAGAAAAAGCAUCGGCUAACUCCGUGCCAGCAGCCGCGGUAAUACGGAGGAUGCGAGCGUUAUCCGGAUUUAUUGGGUUUAAAGGGUGCGUAGGCGGAAUAUCAAGUCAGCGGUAAAAAUUCGGGGCCCAACCCCGUCGUGCCGUUGAAACUGAUGGUCUUGAGUGGGCGAGAAGUAUGCGGAAUGCGUGGUGUAGCGGUGAAAUGCAUAGAUAUCACGCAGAACUCCGAUUGCGAAGGCAGCAUACCGGCGCCCAACUGACGCUGAAGCACGAAAGCGUGGGUAUCGAACAGGAUUAGAUACCCCAGUAGUC